CCGAUCACCCUCUCAGGUCGGCUACGUAUCGUUGCCUUGGUAAGCCGUUACCUUACCAACUAGCUAAUACGGCGCAGGUCCAUCUAUAAGUGAUAGCAAAGCCAUCUUUCACUAUCGAACCAUGCGGUUCGAAAUAUUAUCCGGUAUUAGCUCCGGUUUCCCGAAGUUAUCCCAGUCUUAUAGGUAGGUUACCUACGUGUUACUCACCCGUCCGCCGCUAACAUCAAAGGAGCAAGCUCCUCGUCUGUUCGCUCGACUUGCAUGUAUUAGGCACGCCGCCAGCGUUCAUCCUGAGCCAGGAUCAAACUCU
rnacentral:rRNA from 1 species